AUAUCAAUAAGCGGAGGAAAAGAAACCAACAGGGAUUGCUCUAGUAACGGCGAGUGAAGCAGCAAUAGCUCAAAUUUGAAAUCUGGCGUCUUCGGCGUCCGAGUUGUAAUUUGUAGAGGAUGCUUCUGAGUAACCACCGACCUAAGUUCCUUGGAACAGGACGUCAUAGAGGGUGAGAAUCCCGUAUGCGGUCGGAAAGGUGCUCUACACGUAGCUCCUUCGACGAGUCGAGUUGUUUGGGAAUGCAGCUCUAAAUGGGAGGUAAAUUUCUUCUAAAGCUAAAUAUUGGCCAGAGACCGAUAGCGCACAAGUA
rnacentral:rRNA from 1 species